rnacentral:misc_RNA from 1 species
AAAAAAAAAAAAAUUAGAAAAAGAAAAGGAAGAAGAACUAUAAGAACUAAAAUUGCAUUGCGUGACAUAACACGGCAAGGUAAGUCACAAAAGUCACCUAACUUACCAAACUCAAAAGCACAAUUCGAUUGAAACACCUAAAUUAUAAUCAACAAAGUAACCGCAAAACAAAAUAGAAACACACUAAAAAUGAUGACUAGUACUCAACAUCAGAAAACCUAAAACCAGAAAAUGAAGCCAAACAAAGGCAGAAACAAGCAAAUUCAAGCUUAGGUCACCAAUUGCGAAACAGGAGAUAAUCGCAAAAUGAAAGAGAUCCAGA